rnacentral:rRNA from 1 species
GACGAACGCUGGCGGCGUGCGUAAUACAUGCAAGUCGAGCGCGGGAAGCAAGCAGAUCUUCUUCGGGAGUGACGCUUGUGGAACGAGCGGCGGACGGGUGAGUAACACGUAGGCAACCUGCCUGUAAGUUUGGGAUAACUCCGGGAAACCGGGGCUAAUACCGAAUAGGCAUCAUAUGCGCAUGCAUGUGAUGUAAAAGACGGGAUACUGUCGCUUACAGAUGGGCCUGCGGCGCAUUAGCUAGUUGGUGAGGUAACGGCUCACCAAGGCAACGAUGCGUAGCCGACCUGAGAGGGUGACCGGCCACACUGGGACUGAGACACGGCCCAGACUCCUACGGGAGGCAGCAGUAGGGAAUCUUCCGCAAUGGACGCAAGUCUGACGGAGCAACGCCGCGUGAGCGAUGAAGGUCUUCGGAUCGUAAAGCUCUGUUGUGAGGGAAGAACGGGUAUAGGAGUAACUGUCUAUACAUUGACGGUACCUCACCAGAAAGCCCCGGCUAACUACGUG